rnacentral:lncRNA from 1 species
CUCAUCCCAUUCAUAUUUUAAAAAUACUAAUAUUUUGUGUUUGAGCAUUUUAAUAGGCUCAGAAACUUAAAAAUGAUGUUUCUUUUCUAACAACAUACUCUUUUCAAUGGGAUAUUAUGGUUGUUAUUAUUUAACAUGACAUUUAGGGACUCAACAUACAUUAAGGUGAUGGCACUAAGAUAAAUGUAGAAAUAACCAGUACCAUGUAAUUUUCAUAAGUGCUUAAAUUGUUGGUAAACAAUUUUAUGAGUUGGAGGUGUUGAAGCAAAUAUUAUUAAUAUUUGAACAUAAAAGCUGAUCAAAGGGGCCUGGUCCACAGAAGAUGUUUAUUUGAUGUAACAAAACAAUACAGUUAGUGUUAGAUCCAACCACAAAGAGCAAAAGGAAUGAAAAAUUUGUACAAUGUACAUAGAAAAAACAAGAUAUUUACUGUGACAACUAUAUAUUCCUAAAAUAAUGCUUCUAAAAUUACUCAAUUAUUGAAAUCUACAUGAAAAAAAGGAUGUUAAUAGCGACAAAGUGCAUAAAAUCAAACAUUGUAUUUUGAGCAAAUUAACAUACUAGGCAAUUUUGCUAAGAAUGCAUGAUUUUUUUUUUCUUGUUUACAGUCUGCUCAAAAUAUCUUUAUACCAACAGGGUAGGCAGAACAUUUAGGUUUAAUAUCAGUUACACAAUAUUAGCAUAAACUUCCACAACUACAUAGGGUAUUGUUUUCUUUUGAGCUGGCAAAGUGACUAUAGAAACAUCAGAUGAUUUCUCUGAAUUGAGAAUUUUAUCCAAAUAAAUGCCACAUACCUUCUAGAUAUAUGCAUAUCUUUCUAUAUUAUGUAAAUGGCUUUACCCAUUUAAAUAAUAAACCAUACAGCAUUUAAGAAUCAUUAUUAUAUGAUUAACAAUGUCAUGUUCCAGGUUUAACAAUUUCAUAGGCCAAAAAAAAUUUCUUCUUAAAAACUAGUUUUAUAAACGCAGAAUAUAUUCCAUGAGUAACUGCUGGUAUUUUUUAAGAAAAUAUAUUGUGCAAUUGUGGCUACCACGUACUGCUGGCAAAGCAUUAUUAUUUAUGUAAAAUGUGAAAAAAAAGGUGUAAAAAUUUUUCAACUGCCUAUGAUCAUGAUGAAAGGUUACUGCCUUCUUACAAAAAUUAUAUUGGCAUCUUCUUAAAAAUAAUUCGAAAAAGGGAUAAACUCCCUAGCC